rnacentral:rRNA from 1 species
UACAGAGGGGGCAAGCGUUAUUCGGAUUCAUUGGGCGUAAAGAGCUCGUAGGCGGUGUGUCACGUCGGCCGUGAAAACCUGCAGCUUAACUGUGGGCGUGCGGUCGAUACGGGCAUCACUGGAGUUCGGCAGGGGAGACUGGAAUUCCUGGUGUAGCGGUGAAAUGCGCAGAUAUCAGGAGGAACACCGGUGGCGAAGGCGGGUCUCUGGGCCGGAUAAUUGACGCUGGAGGAGCGGAAAGCGUCGGGGAGCAAAUGGG